CGGGCUGGAACAGAUGGGACGGAUAGGUCCAAGUGCUGCCACACAUGCCUACUCUUCACUCUGGACCAGGAUGGUCUGUGGUGUAGAGCGUCCCUUGAUCAGAGCCUUGGCAUCACAGACACUCAGGGCAGAUCUGGGCACUGCACGGUGCAGGGCAGCAUCCCUGGGCUUCACCUACUCCAUGCCAAGAACAGCCCCAGUGUGACCACCACAGAUGUCCUCAGACAUAGCCGAGCACUGUCCCCAUGAGCAUGGUGGCCUAGGUGUCACACUGUGGGUGUGAAGGCUCCUCGGCUAUGACAGGGACGCCAUGGUAUGCAGGACGUCAUUGCCGGGGCCGCUGGGUGUGGGUGCUAUGGCCCCGCACUCUCUGCCAACUGACUCUACAGUGAAACACUCAUCACAAACACAUGCCUGCUCCUGGACACCAAGCAACGAAAAUAAAACAAGGUUUUUAUUCCCACUUUAAAAA